GCCUUCGUGGUGUAAUUGGAAGUAUACUCGCUGAGUCUUCGAGAGGCUCAGGGUUCGAGUCCCAGCGAGGGCA
rfam:Stegodyphus mimosarum contig78478, whole genome shotgun sequence.